UACGAAGGGUGCGAGCGUUAUUCGGAAUCAUUGGGCGUAAAGGGUGCGUAGGCGGUGCGUUAAGUCAGUUGUUAAAUCCCCCAGCCUAACUGGGGACCGGCGGCAGAUACUGGCGUGCUUGAGGAUGGAAGAGAGAAGUGGAAUUCUUGGAGUAGCGGUAAAAUGCGUAGAUCUCAAGAGGAACACCAAUGGCGAAGGCAGCUUCUUGGUCCAUAGCUGACGCUGAUGCACGAAAGCGUGGGGAGCAAACAGG
rnacentral:rRNA from 1 species